GCUGCCAUCAUCUUAGGGCCUCGCUUAACUUCAGGACCGCCACAAAUGCAAUGAGGCUCCCAGACUACCUUCUCGUAUGGAGACGAAGCCAAGGUGACAGUGAGUGACUUGGUCAGUUAGAAGAACUUCAGAUUGAAAAACACCUAGGUGAAAGCGAUUUGGAGAGGGAGCCUGUGAAGGAGGAGGGAAAGAGAAGGAAUGUAGACAGAGUUAUCAUCAACUGUGAUGAAGAUAAGAGAGUGAUCACCUCCUCCAGCUUGCGGAGCUCCUUCCUGAGUUCUUCCCUUAUGUCAUGGUGGUCUUCCUUCUUACCCUUAAAAAAACUUGCAAC